rnacentral:rRNA from 1 species
GACGAACGCUGGCGGCGUGCUUAACACAUGCAAGUCGAGCGGUAAGGCCCGUUUCGGGGGUACACGAGCGGCGAACGGGUGAGUAACACGUGGGUGACCUGCCUUUAGCUCUGGGAUAAGCCUGGGAAACCGGGUCUAAUACCGGAUAUGACUCCGCGGCGCAUGUUGUGGGGUGGAAAGCCUUGUGCGGCUGGAGAUGGGCCCGCGGCCUAUCAGCUU